UAUGGCCUCCGAAUAACGGCGACGCGCACACUAUAGGCGCCACGCUACCUAACGCUGCUAUUGGUCAACCUUCCAAGAUGCUUCAAUCCCAUUGAUGAGAAUAGUUUCGUCGACGGCAGUACAACAGUUCCGCCAUAUUGCUAGCUUUAUACCAAUAUCAUUUCAAAAUUGAUCGCCUAAAACAUGGCUUUUUGGGGCAUAUUCAUUUCUAUGUAAGCCCUUAAACAGAUGAAGAAAGUCACAAAGAAAAGGAAGAGUCAGGGAAGGAUUCCCACAGACCCACACUGAUGAUGAAGACUUCUAUCAACCAGGAGAACUGAGUCGCAUUUGCUUACGAGGUACAAAUGUAACAAGAACAUAGAAAACAUAUUCUGAACGAAAGACAGACGAACUAAAAUCUUGGAAAGUCAGGGAUAGGUUCCACUUCUCGCUAAUUGCAGCUAUGAAUGUAUGGAAAGGAUGGAGCUUAUAUUACAUGGUUUCUCUAAUUUCAUAUUACGCAACAUUAUUCUUCCUGUGCUAUGUUGAUGUAAGAAGAUAUGGAACAUAUAUUAUAUGCAAUUAGGCUAUUUCUCUUCAUUGUAUUAUACAGUCUGCAACAAUAUGACACCCAUCUCCUGUCUUAUUUAGGUCACAAUUUUGACAAAUUCUUGGCUGCAUAGGAGUGUUGUAAUGUGUACCUUUUAGUUUUUAGACAUUGAUAUUGUGUGAAGUAUCUAGAGGUUUGUGAUGGAUGUUCUUUGCCAUGUUCUAUAUUUAUAAUUUGUGCAUAAUUCUCCUAGCCUAGGUCGUACUCUGUAUGUUUGUAAUUUGUUACACAUGACAAUGGCAAUGUGGGACAUGUGGCUACUCUGAUGUAGAUUGCAAUAUCCAAAGUGUAAAUGUGUCCAGGUUGACUUCUUUUCUGUCAGCAGUAGAAAAGGAAGGGUCCAAUGUGUCAUAUAAUGAGUAGGUUCUUUGAUGCCGAGAGGUGUUAAUAUUUUCCAACUGUGAGCAUGGCAACAUUGUGAUGUAAUUUGGUGACAAUAUUUAGUUUGAAUAGCUCAUUCUUACUCUUUGUAAAAAAUACAAAAGUUUUUCCGAAGAACUUAAAGAAAGAGAGAUGAAAUGUAUAAUAUGUGCCUAUUGUGUCACAGAGCAAAGUAGAUAGUGAAGUCUGUUUACAUCACCUACUGGUGCACAAGGAAGUUCUAAUUAAAACUGUGAAACCAUAUCAA